rnacentral:tRNA from 1 species
CCGUAGCUCAGUCGGUAGAGCAGAGGAUUGAAAAUCCUCGUGUCGCUGGUUCGAUUCCGGCCGGA